GUUUUGCUACCUACAAGAACAAAGUGCCUCUGAGCACAAAGGGCCUAAGCAAUACCUUGGAUAAACAUUGCAUUUAAAGGCAACUUUAUGCAAGUGGGUCAGCAAAGACUAAAAGAUUUUCUUCAAAUAGUAAUACAGGCCCUGAUCCAAAGACACAAGAUCCAAACACAGACAGCAGAAGGAGAAGAAUACCGUGGCUCAGCCAGGAAAGGAUGAGGAGUGCUUAAAAGAGCAUCCAAGCCAAACACAGGCUUUUGCUCUCUCUUAAAUUGAUUGCUAUUUAGCACCCAUCAAAAGCUCUGCAGAGGGGACCAUCAUUAACGGCAUUUACGAAGACAUCCACUUAUUCCAACAGCAGGAGGAAGACCAACGCUUCUUAUCAUAAACACAAGUUCCUGCUAUACACAACACAUCCUUGAAUUCUAGGGAAGCCAAGAUGUACAUGAAAUGACUGCAGGUCUUAAAGGUCUUGAAUCUAAUUGUGGCACUGGGGCAUAUGUAGAGAUAAAUAUCACGUAGCAUAUGCUAAGGUGAUUUCGAAGAUCUAUUCUAUCUUAAGACACUGUAAGUCUAAUUAUUAAAUGAGCAAUACAGACAUUUA
rnacentral:lncRNA from 1 species